GGGGUUGUGGCUCAGUGGCAGAGUGCUUGCCUGGCAUGUGUGAGGCCCUGGGUUCGAUCCCCAGCACCACA
rnacentral:tRNA from 1 species